UUCUGGUAUUUAACGAGCAAGCUGUUUUCUGUCACUGUGUAACAGCAGUGGGCAGAGGUCCUACAGAGAGGCAGAUAACGCAGAGCAGAAAAUCCUUGGCAUUAUGGAGGGAAUGUGUCUGGGAGCUUGCUCUGCCCUUUCUUCUCUUGCCAUUGAUGUCCUUGCUGUAUCAGAUCCCAUUCUCAGUGCCAUGUGUGCUGCAGCUGGUUGGGUAGCAGGAUUUUAAUAAUUGUAUUGAGCUGUUCAGAAUGUUCUUAUUCAGUUGUUGUUUUGGGAGGCUGCCAAGCUUUUCCUGAGGAAAGCAAACAGAAAGGAAAUGCCAGGAUUUUCUGACAGCCUGUGACCCAGCUAGACCAGAAUGGAAAUUCAUGACAAAAAAUAAAAGUAGUCCAGGCUGCACCUAGGGAAGAGAAGACCCAGCUGGACUCCAGGACAGAGUUCUGUGAUCUGAAGGCCAUCGCUUCAGCCAUGGACAGCUGCACAGAAGGAAUACUAUGACAAAAAAAGGAACCGCAGAACACAGCCUGGAAAUGGGGAACUGAACUGUUCUCUCUUGUAUUUGGAUACAACAGAUAUAUUUCUGCUUGAAUGCUCCAAAGCAAGCAACCAAACAACCUCAUGGACAAGAACAGACACUGGAAUGGCUGAUGCAAAUUAUGAAGUUUUAAACUACUAGAAGAACUUGAGAACUUGAGAUUACAGCUUAAGCUCUUGAUACUGUGUUCACUAUUCUUAGUGAACACAAUGCCCUAUACCAUGUAUGUUAACACAAACCAGUCUGAGUGAAUAUUCAUUUUGAUAGAUGGGAACCUAGAUCUUUAAUUUUUGUGGUAUUAGAGAGCAUAAAAGUCUUCUGAAAAACUAAGUCUAAACAAUUUGCCGAAAGAUAAAUAGGAAGUCUGUGUCCUAAGAGGAAUCUGUAUGCAAGUUUUAUAAGUCAUAGACCAAUGUUUUUAAUCCUAAAACUUUCAUAUUCAGCAAUACAAAGGAUACAAAGAAUAAUAUAUAUAUAUAUAUAUAUAUAAAAGUAUUUAAAAGAUCUUUGAAUCUAUAAAAAUGCAUAGAACAGAGAAGGCAUUCUAGCAUUUUAACUAGUUCUUGAGCAUAUUAGCAUAGGAAUAUAUUUUUAAUAGACUAAUGUUAUUUAUAGCCUUCUAAAUCAUCCCUGGCAUACCUAUAAAAAUUAAAACUUAUUGAAGUCAGCUACUUCUCUGCCAUAAAAGACUUAGCAAAUUUAACAGAAAAACAAACAGCUUUUUGAAUUCCUCUUAAAUUACUUGCAAUAACACUUAAGUGCCUAUUGAAAGCUUUUCAUAUGUAAAGCACAAACCAUUUCAUAAAUGUGGGAAUAACAUUAUUACAUCUAUUUUUAUCUGGGAAACUGUAAAUUAACAGGGUGUGUGUGUGUGCGUGUCACACUGCUGUCCUGCACAGGGCCAUCUGAGUCAGCCUGUGACUAAUUAGUUUUGUUACUGGAAACAGUCUAGUCACGCUAACAUGAUGCUCUGGGAAGGCGAAAACGCCCUGCUUCUAGUCAAUCUCCUCACUGUACUUUACCGUGCCAUGUGAACAAGUCCUCAGAAGCUAAUGGCCUGUGUUUACAGAGACGCUGAGCAUCCCCAAGUCCCUCUGAAUGCGAUCCCUGCAGCUACGCAGCAGCCCGAGCCUCGCCUCACCCUCCAGUCCUGCAUUUGCAAUUCUCUGCACCUUCUCCUUUGGCUCACUGUCGUGUCAGAAUGAUGAGAUAUGCAAGCACAAAGCUCAGGCAGGGCUGGCCCAGACUUGCAAAAUGGGUUUCUUCAAGCAAAUUCCAUAAUUUAGAGAACAGGGAUAGUACAGAGUACCCAAUCUCCUGAACAGUUAUGGAUUAGUUUCCCAGUGCUGACUGCAAGGCCAGUGCCCAAGUGUUCUGAGGUCAAAUUUAUUCUUAGCAUCAGCUCUUUGAAGAUGCAAUAGUGUUAGGCCUCCAUUAAGCCUGAAGUCAGAUUUCAUUAUCAUAAUGGUCCCUUCUGGCAUCAAAACCCAUGAAUCUGUUCGUUUUAUCAACCUCAGCUGAUUUUGUGAACUGGAAGUGGCUGCAGAGAUGGACAGGGAGGGCAUCAAGAACACAUAACAUAGUAUGAGAUUUUAAAGGAUACAAAUAUGGAUUAGAGGAGUAUGUUUGCACAGUUAUUUUCCAAAACAGCUUCCAAUAAAAUCGAUUAGAAAAUUAUACCUGAAAUUAAAAGCAAUGACAGAGCCCAAGGAGAGGACACACAAACACGGUACAAACAGCUGCCUGCAAUCAAAAAGUAACUAAGAAUAACUUACAUACAAAAAAUAUCAUAAUUAAAAUAUCAGAAUCAUGACUAGUCUAGCAGGGGAGACUGUGGCUUCAAGAACAAGCUCAAAAUUAAAGCCUUGCUGCUGGGAUUUGGUGAGGAAUGACUGAAACACAACAAGUUUACUGAAUGCAGGGCAAAAGAUCCAUUGCCCUCAAAAUCCCAGUCACAAAGCACCCAAAAACAUGCCUGAGAGCGAGCAAGCCAGCAAAUAAUGCAAAUGGAUGAUCCUCCAAAACACUGAGGAAUGCCUUGCAAUUUGAAAACAACUGGAAUAUGUAAUUUGAGAUUUUGUUGGUUCUGUGGUUUUUAGCAAAUUUGAGAAAAGAAGGAAAAAUAAGGUAUGGUUUUUUUUUUUUUUUUUUAAUAUUGAAACCUCCCCCCCGGACAGCCUGCUGACCUGCAGGACCCAGCCAAGGCUUUGAAAUUAAAAUGUCCUAAGUGACGUGCCAUUGUCAGUUUUCAUAAUACAUUAAUUUAGUUAAACAUGUUAAUAAUUACCACGCAAGAAUUUUCACCUACGUCAUAUUCCCAAGCAUUCCAUGUUUCAGCCUGUGUGGUGCUCUGCUUGUUUCGGUAGCGGCUGAUAGGCAGCUUUUCAAAUUCCAGAGUGUGUGUGUGCAUAUUCAUUUAUACAAAUAUUAUAUAACCUGUUUACACAGGUCUUUUGAAAAUUAUUUAAAGGCACUUUUUUUUCCCCCUCUGCUUACAGGUAAACAGAUUUCUGUAGUCACAAGAUUAACCAAGCAGUUUGCUUUAUGUUUUAGUGUUUCAGACUAAAACCCCUUCCAUAGCCACAGCAAAGCAAUUUAAGAACAAAACCAGAACAGAUCAAUGCCUGUUACUUACAUCCCAAUUGCUAUGGACUUUAUUCAUAGCUAUUGAAAAAGUAUAUAUAUAUUGAAAAAUAUAUCAUACAAAAAUAUAAUUAAGUAUUUUUACUGUAACUCAGCACUAUAGAACUCAAGAGGAGUAAUUCAGAAAAAAAUGCAUCCUAUUAGAGGACUUUUAGUUUAUAUGUUACCAAAAUUUCCAUAUUUCUGAAAUCCUCCUCACUAGAGAAAAAACUCAAAUUCCAUUCUUGCAUAGUUUCCAAAUUUUCAAAGAGGAAAAUAUUUAGUGCAAUUAUCAGUAACAUCUCCACUGCUAGGACAGCAAUACUCCCAACAGGCAUUGCCAAGAGGUUUUUGUACUUUUGUGUCAUAUCGGGGAUUUUUUUUCUCUAAACUCUGUGACAUAUAUUCAGCCAAGACCAGUCAAGCAUUCAGAACUGUUGAGCAAGACAUGCUUUUUAUGCUUAAACCUAGAUCCAUUCUAUUUGUACACAGACUCCAUGGAUCCCACACAAACUGUGUUUUCAAGCUGUUUUGAGUAAGCUCCUUUUUGAUUUUUAAAACUAGAAUGUCUAUGUGAAAACCAGUGUAAAAUGAAAUGUACCAAUCAGAAUGUUAUUGUUACUUCUGAAUGUCUUUAAAACAAGGCCAGGAGAUUUCUCUAUUUGGAAUAAAAACACUGCAACUUUUUAUUGUUUAUUCAGCACAAUAGUAUCAUACUAUGCAAUGCUAUACAAUUGUGCUGCUAGAACAUUUCAGUCAAUGCACUUUGCUGUAAAUCAAAAAUAAACAAACAAACACCUAGAUUUUUGUGUUCUUUUAAAAAUAAUUACAGUUUUUUGGGAAAAAAAAAAAAAGCCUGUUAGAGAUCAUCACCUAAUUCCUGCCUGGAAUCCUACUAUCCUACUCAGAUUAGUAACUUCAAUUUCUGUACUUAAGUACUAUUAUUACAAAUUCCAGAAAUUAAAGCUUUUUUUUUUUGUUUUCAAAGUAUCUGUAUUUUUGUUAAGUGUGGUCUACUACCUUCAACACUACCUUCAGCUGCGUUAUGAACUAGUGAGUAUAGAACUGAAAUGCUUUCUCCUUUUACUUUAUAUCUCCAGAGGGACUACUUCGUAUAAUUAAAUGUAGCAAGUCAUCUCCUCAAAUAGCAUAAACAAUGUCUCUCCAUGCAAUUUAUCAGAGUACGAAAUUCUGAUCUCUACGAGUUUUUGAAAUAACACUAACAAAAUUCACAAUAAAUAUGUCUAUCUGUGUGCACAACAUUUCAUAUCAGCAUAGUGUCAUAAUUGGCCAUGAAAGUAUUUCUCAAGGUGUUUUGAUAAAUAUUUAAGAAUAUGCGGCAUUUAAAAAUUAAAAUAAUAUAUUUUAGACAGUUCUAUAAUAAUAGCUAGAUUCCAGAUAUUCACUUCUUACUGAAUUUUCUUUCUUGUUGCUUGCUUGCACAUCAGCAUGCAUGAAAAAGUACGUGUGUUCUAAAUAUCUAUUUUGCAAUCACUUCAAAAGCGUCAGAGUACAAAUUGAGAAACUCUGGUAAGGAAUUUUCCUUGCACUGUGAAUGAGCUAAGCAAGUAUGUGCAAUGUGGCAGAAGAUAAUGAAGCUUCCUUCCCAAGCACAAACUCUUAAGGCUUGCUGGCAGAGAACUCAAUCGUUUCAAUUCAGGCCACUCAUAUGAAGUUAGAGGAAAAAAAAAUAUUUUUGAUAAACAUUCUACAUGGACAAAACUUAUUUUUGCUCUUUCUGCAUCAACACGAGAAAUUAGUCUUGCUCUUAGAACUGAUUUUUUUUUUUUCCCCUUCUGCAACAUUCAUGUGUGCGUCCAUUCCCUCGGGUUAGACUCUGUGGCACAUGUGCAUGUGCACACAUGCCUGGAUCAGUAAAGGAGAACUGGGUGGUGCAACAGCACUUUGGGAAGGGAAGACCUUCUACCAGUUUCCAUGCCUUCUUUGGGUUUCAGAUAUUCAGAUAUUAUUUAGAAUUAAAAAAGGAAGGCUGUUCGCUUGGAGAAGUGCUACUGUUUUUAAUUGUUCAGAGUCAAAAUCAACUAAAGAUGCAUGUUCAUUUUGUAUUACAAAUGUACUUGUGGCACAAUUUAAUAGAAGAUGAUUAUUUAAAUAUUUAAAAUCCAGAUCUUAAUGAUAUAUGGUCAGAUCCCUAGGCAUCAAUCCUGCAAACACAUAAGCGUAUUAAGUUAAUGGAAAUUCUCAUGUACAUAAGUUGAAGUAUUUAAAACCUUUCAGGAUUAGGAAUCUAAUUUUGCUUCAAGAAAAAAAUGUGUCUUCUUUGAGCAAGUAUUAUUUUUCUCUCUUUGCCCUUUACUAAAUGCCUAUAAAAUUUCUUUUCAAGUUUUAUUAGAUGUAUUGCUUGACAAAAUGAAACAAAUUGCAUAUACAAUUCAUUUUUAUAAUGAGUCUAUUGCAAUUUCUGACACACAAGUGCUCAAUCUCUAAACUUCACCAUUGUUCCUCCCCCCCAAAAAUAAAUAAAUAAUCAAAAAUAACAUUUCAAAUCUUAAUUUAUCGCUAAAUAAAACAAAGGACAAAUAAGAUGGUCCUAUACAGAAAAUAUCUACUCUAGUGCUUAAUUUUUUAGAUCUAUGACUGAUAAUAAAUUAUCUGACACCUGCCAAUAAAAUCAAGUGAUUUUACUAAUCAGGGCAGAUAAGGGAUGGGGGAAAGAAACCAUGUACCACAAGUGCUUGCUUCAGGUUUGCAGGCUUGCAUCCUCAAAGGCACAUUUCUUUUGUGAUUUAGGAGGGAGCUUAAAUUCCCAGAUUUCACACCUGGAACUGCAUUCAAGCAAGAUGACAAAAGUACCUGGAGCAGGCAGUGAACGCUCACCUCUGGCUGAGGUGCAUGAUGAAAGGAAAAAAGGCAGAGGAGAGAGGGUUGUCUGGUAGGAAGAGCUGGAGUUGGGGGCAAAGAGGGAGGGAAAUAAAAACAAAAUUUAUAGGUUUCCUAUCAUACUGUAAGCACAGUCAUUUCAGAGGAUGAGAGCAGAAACGCUUGCAUUUUACAGAAGCUGUACACAUAGAACAGUCAUAGAAUCACAGAACCACCUAGGUUGGAGAGGACCUUUGAGAUCACCAAGUCACUACUGAGUCACAUCACUAAACCCUGUCCCUUAGUGCCACGUCUCUUAAAUAUCUCCAGGGCUGGGGACUCCACCACUGCCCUGGGCUGCCUGUUCCAAUGCUUGACUACCCUCUCCAUGAAGAAAUUCUUCCAAAUGUCCAAUCUUAACCUCCCUGAAAGUAUGCCUUACUGCUUUCCCUUUGAUACUGACUCACAGAGUCACUGCUGAUCAAGGUGUGACAGAGUGGAACAGAGCCCAGCUGAACCAAAUAUUGGCCCAUCUGCAUUUAUCUCAAGCUGUCCCCUUCCUUCCACACAGAUAGACUUAAUCAACCCCAAGCUGCCAACAUUUUCACCCUGGGUGAUUGCUUCAGAGAGUUAUGGUCCCCUGGGAGGUCCAAACAGCAUUUAGCUAUUGCACUGGUUUCUGAGAGGAUAGCCUCCAGCAGCUGAAAGACUAACAGAGAUCUCUUUCUUUGAGCCCCCAAAACUGCACAUCUUUUCUUUCCUUUUUUUUCCCAGCAAAAUGCACUCAGAGCCCUGACUCAGUGAGGCUGAAGUUUACAAAGAAGAACUUCUUGGGCUCUCAAGAGCCCAUUGCAAAGGCACUGUUUAAUUCCCCUGAACUUCAAGUCAGAAGUACCAAGCCCCUACUCGGGACAAAAUUCCUAGGUCAGGAGACUGCAGUCCUUCCUCAUAGCACUUCAGAUCAGGGCUGCACCUCCGCCAUGAAAUUUAACUUAUGCAUAAGGAAUCAAAUCAUCUGGUUAAUAUGAUUUCUGGUUCAAGUGACUGUCACUGUAAUUCAGUCAGCCUAGAACUCACAAACAAAAUACUGAUAUUACUGCAAAAAUAACUAUUUCAGCAUUAUUAAUUCCAGUCAUUCACAUACACUGUCAGCCUGGUGAUCACAUAGUGCUAAGAGGUGAAACAAAGUGACAGAAAAUAAAUAAACAAAUACAAGAAUCAGUCAUAAUUCCCAACUUCAUCUCUAUGUUUAUUUUCCUCAUUUCAGAAGAACUUCCUCUGAGCAAAAUAAUAUAGUGUCUUUAUGUUUUAAAGCAACUUUCUGUAUAUUUCUAUCAGCACAUAUGGAAGAGCUGGAUCCAAUGAACAGCUGAUAUUUUUGCCCCUUCCAGCAAAGACAGGUUACAGAACCCUACCAAAUAGUCCUUGUGCAAUCACUUAUACUGUCUAUUAUUAAAACAAAACAAAACAAAAACGCAACAACAACAACAACCAAAUCCACAGCCUUGACAGCGACUUUCCAGGCAAUUAUUCUGUGCCUGUGCUAAUCUACUCUUAGGUAGUGCCAAGGAAUUAUCAGCAGAGUAGACAGCUUCAGAUAUUGUUGUUAUUAUUAUUGCAUUUGUUGUGCUGGCUGCAAACCUGCUUGCUGUGACAGGCAAUAUAUCCCUGGCACUUGUGCUGCUGGCUGACACGGUCACUGCUCGGGAGGUACGCUUCACUAGCAGUGAAUUCUGCUUGGCUUAAAAAGGGUUGCCCUUCAGUGGCUAUGUUCUUACUUCUUGGGAAGGUCCCUUAAGAGAAUCAGCAGCUACCUGAUUUCCUUCUGUGCUGCUUAUUUCACCUUUUUUCACCUUAUUUCAUCGUUUUUAUGCCUGACAUAUUGAGCAUUAAAAGCCUAGUGGGAAAACACUAACUCCAAUACCUUCUGUAGGUCAAUGCCACUCAGAUUCACCUGAAUUAAAAUAUGAUGUCUGGUUCUUUAUCUAGUGCUCAACCCAUAAAAGAAGUUUAUUGAGCUGAAGUGCAGCCUGCUUGGUAAAGAGUGCCUGCAGCUCCAGGAAACAGCAUGAAAAUAAGGCUAAGAUGUUAUAUCUGCUGUUUGAACUGAAGGCACACCCAGUUGGCCACCUGAAUGUACAAUCCAGUGCCACUGUUCAAGCCUGACUGCUAAGGGAUGAAGCAGAUAUCAAAGUUCUCUUUUCAUCUCUAAGAUACAGUGCAUAAGUUCUCAUAUUAUCCUAUCGCAUGGCUUCAUCUCUUACAGCAGAUCACUUGCAGAAGCAAAAAGGCCUGAGGAGAUCUGGUGCUGCAGUUAGCAAAAAAAAACUCUGGAUAAAAGGUGCAGCACAGAAGUUUUCUGAAGGCAGCUUUGUGCCCGCAUGCCUCGCUGAUGAGGGCAGGGGUCACAGUAGACCCUGGUUUUGAGGAAUUUGUUCUGGUUCCCUCAGGUCUUACAUCUUCUGGGCAGCGAGUGCAAGCGCUCCAGACCAAGAGACAGAACUGGUUAAGGUAAUCUGCUCUUACCUAAGGUAUGAGAACAGCCUGGGUAUGUCUUGAAGAAACACCCUCUUUAUCUGAAGAUAAGAAAGACCUUUACACUUUUAAAAAUAUUUUUGUAAAGUAAGCACUACAAAGCUACUGUCAUAUACUGACGCAAACAUGUCUGGAGAAGUACUGAUGUUCCUCAGACAUCAGUUUUCAUAAAUAUAACACUAAAUGCACGAUUACGAUGUUUUAUCAACCAGAACCACAGAGACGAGAAAAUAAAAAUUUGUUAUCUGGCCCCUACUUGCUUUGUUUGCUAAUGUAUAUUACUCUCAGGCUUUUGGUUUAUAAUUGGCUCUUUUUGAACUGCGAUAUAUAUUAAUUCAGUGCCUUUGUGGCUUAGCAUUCUCAUCUACUAAACUCUAAACACUUUGGUCAUGUUCUUUGAUGGCUAAGGAUAAAGGAGAGCAUAUAAAUUCUGAACCUACUGUUUAUACUGUAGCAGUGGCAUUUCUCCAUGGGCUGGCACCAAUCGGGACAACUAAGAUACCAGUUGAACUGUAUGAUAUACAAACUUGUAGCAAAACAUAAUGAUGUUUACAGCUUAAGAAAACAAACACCCAGGAUAUGGGAAAAGAUGUCAAACAAAGGCAGAGGAGCACAGACAGCUAGUUUGGUUGCUUCCACUUACAUAUUUAUAAUGUAAAUAAUACUACUGUAAAUUCAAGUGCCUUACUGAUACAGUACUUCAGUGGACUGCAUUCUGAAAAAUUAUUAACUUUGUUGAUCAAGCAAGCCAUCAUUGGGUGGGCCUUGUAAUUAUUUAUUUUGAACAGCUCUACUGAGGUGAGUCAUUUUAUGGAUGUCAGUAGAACCUCCUGUGAAGUAACAACCCCAGUUACACUCCCUGAUUAUUCUGGUGGCCCUCGCUUCUUCCCUCUCUAAAGUAAAUCAGGGUCGGAUUUUUAAGUAUAAAAGCCCUGUGAGAUCGCAAGCAUACUGAAAACCUUUUUGAACACAAGGACCAUAACUUUUAUUGUACAGAAUAGUACCUUUUUAUUGGGAAACAGUCACAGAUGUAAUUUAACAGCAGGCUAAAAGGAAAAUUGUGAUUGCACUGGUAUCAUUGGCAAGGUCUGCACUUGCCUUGAAGAGGUGAAUUCUAAAGUGUACUUUGACUAUCAGUGCCUGCACUGGAAUUCUUGCACUGCUCCUUGGGGAAAAUAGCACAGCUACAAGAGAGCUGUUCAGAAAUAAUUACAAGUGAAGUAUAUACUCGUAGUCAGAUCUGACAUAUGAGGGAACUAAAUACAAAUAACUCAGUGGCAUUUUCUCCCACCCCAACCAAACAGGAGAAUGGGAACUUCUGAUAGUAGCUAGUAAGUUUCUGUGCUUCAGGACUGUUUUAUUCCACAUCAGCAUUUCUCACACUCCAUGUAGUUUCUGUUGCAUUGUAUUACACAAAUACUCCUACAGCAGGGCAGAGUCUGUAUAUGCUCCUUUAAAACCCGUUCAUAGGUAGUAGAAUAUUUUGGUUUCCCAAUUCGCAUUCACGACAAAUGAAUUUAAAGAUUAAAAUUGCCCCCAAAUGUGUCCCCCAUCCCUGAGAGCAUUGUUGGCUAUGUUGGAAAGCUAUUAGAGAUCAAACACUAUGCUAAGUCUGCAAGAGAUCUAAAAAGGCCGACGGCAAUACUGAAUGUGAAGUCAUUAAGCCUAGAGUUCUUCAGGCAAGAUUGUUCCCUGGCUGAAAAAAAAUUAUGAAAACUCAGAUCUCUUGAGGAUAGGAAUUCAGAAGAACAAAAAUAGCACUUCCAACAUUAUUAGUCUUCUUUCUAAAAGCCAGAAAAAGAGGGAGGGAAAUGCAAAUACACUGGGCUGGGUACUAGCAGAAGCAUUACGCCUGGGCAAAAUCAACGGUUUUAUAUUUAUAGCAUAUCUUUACUUAUAAUUGUUUCAGCAUAUUGUAGUACAGAAGUAUUGCUGAAUAUGAUAAAGAACACUUUACUGAAUGCACAAAAAGUGUGAAUGACCUUUUAAUAGCACUCUUUUGUUUUGCCUGACAAAGAUUUAUGUCAAUGAGAGAACAGGUUUUAAUGAAAAAUAUUCCUACGAAACAUAUGUAUGUGCUUAACUCUUGUAUAUAUGUGAAUGAAAGACCUUAAUAAAUACAACUGCCUACAAGAUCUGUUCUUUAAUUUUCUUUAUUGCAUUUUGAAAUUCAUGAUAGAUGUCCGAUAUUUUCAUAACAUAUUAGCACAGUGGUGACGUAAAAAUAGCAAUACCCAUACAUCAGCCCAUGGUACCUUUAAGUAUAAAAUGCAAGCAUCAAAUAUUGCUAAAUAGUCUUGUAAACCUGUGAUAUGACAGAAGCCUGUGAGUAA